CUUUACUUACCGGAGGAAAAGAAACCAACAGGGAUUGCCUUAGUAACGGCGAGUGAAGCGGCAACAGCUCAAAUUUGAAAUCUGGCUCCUUCGGGGUCCGAGUUGUAAUUUGUAGAGGAUGCUUCGAGUUAUGGUUCCUUCCGAGUUCCCUGGAACGGGACGCCAUAGAGGGUGAGAGCCCCGUCUGGUAGGAAACCAUGCUCAUGUGAAGCUCCCUCGACGAGUCGAGUAGUUUGGGAAUGCUGCUCUAAAUGGGAGGUAUACUCCUUCCAAGGCUAAAUACCGGUUAGAGACCGAUAGCGCACAAGUAGAGUGAUCGAAAGAUGAAAAGCACUUUGAAAAGAGAGUCAAACAGCACGUGAAAUUGUUAAAAGGGAAGCGCUCGCUACCAGACGUGGGUUCGGUGGUUCAACCAGGUCCAUGACCUGGGGCACUCCGCCGGCCCAGGCCAGCAUCAGUUUCCGUCGGGGGCAAAGGCGUCGGGAAUGUGGCUCUCCUUCGGGGGAGUGUUAUAGCCCGUCGCGUCAUACCCUUCGGGGGGCUGAGGUACGCGCUCCGCAAGGAUGCUGGCGUAAUGGUAGCUAGUGACCCGUCUUGAAACACGGACCAAGGAGUCAACCUUAUGUGCGAGUGCCCGGGCGUAAAACCCCAGCGCGGAAUGAAAGUGAACGUAGGUGAGAGCUUCGGCGCAUCACCGACCGAUCCUGAUGUCCUCGGACGGAUUUGAGUGAGAGCAUAUAGGGUUGGACCCGAAAGAAGAUGAACUAUGCGUGUGUAGGGUGAAGCCAGAGGAAACUCUGGUGGAGGCUCGCAGCGGUUCUGACGUGCAAAUCGAUCGUCAAACAUGGCAUGGGGGCGAAAGACUAAUCGAAUCUUCUGGUAGCUGGUUUC
rnacentral:rRNA from 1 species